rnacentral:ncRNA from 1 species
UAUAUGGCAAACUUAAAGAAAUUUAAGGACGCAAAGCUAUAGGGACUAAGGAAAAUUUCUAUGUCAGCCAGUUGCCAA